rnacentral:tRNA from 2 species
UAGCUCAGUGGUAGAGCACCACCUUGCCAAGGUGGGGGUCGCGGGUUCGAACCCCG